GCUCAUCAAGUCUCAAAGCCUGUUUAUGGCGAGACCAGAAGCCAAGCGUGCCAGAAUCUGCUCGACCGCGCGAAGGCGAGCAGAAUCCCAAGCAUUGAAGAAUUUUCUAAGGCAUGCAAAGGCUCACGAAGUCUGAAACCCUGUUUAUGGCGAGACCAGAAGGCAAGCGUGCCAGGAUCUGCUCGACCGCGCGAAGGCGAGCAGAAUCCCAAGCAUUGAAGAAUUUUCUAAGGCAUGCAAAGGCUCAUCAAGU
rnacentral:lncRNA from 1 species